GAAAGUGAGGUCUAAAGCACAUUCAUCCUGGGCCUGGGCUUUUUUGGCCUACGUUCAAGACUCUUGUAGGACAAACAAAAAUGAAAUCCCAAAUGUUGUCACCCUGCCUGAAGAAGUCAAAUGGUUUAAAGGAGUGCCCUGCAUAUGGUGCCACCUCACUCUCUCAUGCUCUCUGAAAGGCUGCUUGGAAGGACAAACCAACAUUAAAGCAACAAAGUCAUCAAAGGAAAUGAAAGUGGCAAAAUGAGUCCUGGAACAGACAAGGGGCUUUGUUGUGAAAAUGAAAUCCGUUGUCCUGUCAGUUUCCCCACAGCCUGGCAGGGCCGCCUGCAUACACAGG